rnacentral:rRNA from 2 species
GGCGGACGGGUGAGUAAUGUCUGGGAAACUGCCUGAUGGAGGGGGAUAACUACUGGAAACGGUAGCUAAUACCGCAUAACGUCGCAAGACCAAAGAGGGGGACCUUCGGGCCUCUUGCCAUCAGAUGUGCCCAGAUGGGAUUAGCUAGUAGGUGGGGUAACGGCUCACCUAGGCGACGAUCCCUAGCUGGUCUGAGAGGAUGACCAGCCACACUGGAACUGAGACACGGUCCAGACUCCUACGGGAGGCAGCAGUGGGGAUUAUUGCACAAUGGGCGCAAGCCUGAUGCAGCCAUGCCGCGUGUGUGAAGAAGGCCUUCGGGUUGUAAAGCACUUUCAGCGGGGAGGAAGGGAGUAAGGUUAAUAACCUUAUUCAUUGACGUUACCCGCAGAAGAAGCACCGGCUAACUCCGUGCCAGCAGCCGCGGUAUUACGGAGGGUGCAAGCGUUAAUCGGAAUUACUGGGCCUAAAGCGCACGCAGGCGGUCUGUCAAGUCGGAUGUGAAAUCCCCGGGCUCAACCUGGGAACUGCAUCCGAAACUGGCAGGCUUGAGUCUGGUAGAGGGAGGUAGAAUUCCAGGUGUAGCGGUGAAAUGGGUAGAGAUCUGGAGGAAUACCGGUGGCGAAGGCGGCCUCCUGGACGAAGACUGACGCUCAGGUGCGAAAGCGUGGGGAGCAAACAGGAUUAGAUACCCUGGUAGUCCACGCCGUAAACGAUGUCUAUUUGGAGGUUGUGCCCUUGAGGCGUGGCUUCCGGAGCUAACGCGUUAAAUAGACCGCCUGGGGAGUACGGCCGCAAGGUUAAAACUCAAAUGAAUUGACGGGGGCCCGCACAAGCGGUGGAGCAUGUGGUUUAAUUCGAUGCA